rnacentral:rRNA from 1 species
CACGGGGGCAACCCUGGUGGCGAGUGGCGAACGGGUGAGUAACAUAUCGGAACAUGCCCUGAAGUGGGGGAUAACGUAGCGAAGUUACGCUAAUACCGCAUAUUCUGUGAGCAGGAAAGCAGGGGAUCGCAAGACCUUGCGCUUUAGGAGUGGCCGAUAUCGGAUUAGCUAGUUGGUGAGGUAAAGGCUCACCAAGGCGACGAUCCGUAGCGGGUCUGAGAGGAUGAUCCGCCACACUGGGACUGAGACACGGCCCAGACUCCUACGGGAGGCAGCAGUGGGGAAUUUUGGACAAUGGGCGCAAGCCUGAUCCAGCCAUGCCGCGUGAGUGAAGAAGGCCUUCGGGUUGUAAAGCUCUUUCGGUUGGGAAGAAAUUGCUUCGGCUAAUACCCGGAGUAGAUGACGGUACCAGCAUAAGAAGCACCGGCUAACUACGUGCCAGCAGCCGCGGUAAUACGUAGGGUGCGAGCGUUAAUCGGAAUUCUGGGCGUAAAGCGUGCGCAGGCGGUUUUGUAAGUCAGAUGUG